rnacentral:misc_RNA from 1 species
AAAACAAAAUCAAAGAACCACCAAACAUGGCCUUAACAUCACCUGAGCACACUUCCGUCUCCGGCUCCGACUCACCGAAGCGUCUGAGUCUGGGUUUCCUUACGUCUAUAUCAUCCCUCAUGUCUCUUUGCGCCAAGCAUGCAACUAGAGUCUCCACCAAGCUCAAGACCACGGCCUUGUCCACCCACCACCACCAUGACGGCGUUAAAACCCUAAAACUACUGUCGCUGAAAUCGCCGCUUGUCCGCCCUAAGCAACUAUUGAUGCAAAUAAGCAAUAAGACAAUCGCUUUUGUUCACAGCAAGAAAAGAGCCGCAGACGACGACGAGGACGUUGUGAUGGGGCCUGAGGAGUUCGGGGACGGUGGGGUUUGGCAAAAGACGAUCUUAAUGGGGAAUAAGUGUCAGCCGUUGGAUUUCUCGGGUGUAAUUUAUUAUGAUAUUAGUGGGAAGCAACUUAACGAGAUCCCUCUCCGAUCGCCUUUUGCCAGUCCUUUGCCUCGGUACUUGACUCGAGAGAAGGAAAUGGUAGAAAGUUGAUAAAACUCAAUUUUUAUUUUUUUUUACAUUGUUUUAGCCUCUUUUUGAAAUUAUGUAUUGGUGUGGACAUAGUAAUUACAGUUUGGAGAAAUCCUGGAAAUGCAUAUGUAAUCACAUCAUCCAAUAAUU